rnacentral:rRNA from 1 species
CUGGAGGUAUCAGAAGUGCGAAUGCUGACAUAAGUAACGAUAAAGCGGGUGAAAAGCCCGCUCGCCGGAAGACCAAGGGUUCCUGUCCAACGUUAAUCGGGGCAGGGUGAGUCGACCCCUAAGGCGAGGCCGAAAGGCGUAGUCGAUGGGAAACAGGUUAAUAUUCCUGUACUUGGUGUUACUGCGAAGGGGGGACGGAGAAGGCUAUGUUGGCCGGGCGACGGUUGUCCCGGUUUAAGCGUGUAGGCUGGUUUUCCAGGCAAAUCCGGAAAAUCAAGGCUGAGGCGUGAUGACGAGGCACUACGGUGCUGAAGCAACAAAUGCCCUGCUUCCAGGAAAAGCCUCUAAGCAUCAGGUAACAUCAAAUCGUACCCCAAACCGACACAGGUGGUCAGGUAGAGAAUACCAAGGCGCUUGAGAGAACUCGGGUGAAGGAACUAGGCAAAAUGGUGCCGUAACUUCGGGAGAAGGCACGCUGAUAUGUAGG